rnacentral:rRNA from 1 species
CCUGAUGACCAUAGCGAGUCGGUCCCACCCCUUCCCAUCCCGAACAGGACCGUGAAACGACUCUACGCCGAUGAUAGUGCGGAUUCCCGUGUGAAAGUAGGUAAUCGUCAGGCUCCCUAAGCCA